rnacentral:rRNA from 1 species
AUCAACUUUCGAUGGUAGGAUAGAGGCCUACCAUGGUGGUAACGGGUAACGGGGUGUUAGGGCACGACACCGGAGAGGGAGCCUGAGAAACGGCUACCACAUCCAAGGAUGGCAGCAGGCGCGCAAAUUACCCAAUCCCGACACGGGGAGGUAGUGACAAUAAAUAACAAUACGGGGUUCUUUAGGAUUUCGUAAUUGGAAUGAGUGCAAUUUAAAUCUCUUAACGAGGAACAAUUGGAGGGCAAGUCUGGUGCCAGCAGCCGCGGUAAUUCCAGCUCCAAUAGCGUAUAUUAAAGUUGUUGCAGUUAAAAAGCUCGUAGUUGAAUUUCGGGGUCAGUAGAUUGGUCAUGCCACUGGUAUGUACUGGUCUCACUGAUUCCUCCUUCCUGAUGAGCCGUAAUGCCAUUAAUUUGGUGUUGCGAGGAAUCUGGACUGUUACUUUGAAAAAAUUAGAGUGUUUAAAGCAGGCUAACGCUUGAAUACAUUAGCAUGGAAUAAUGAAAUAGGACGUUCGAUCUUAUUUUGUUGGUUUCUAAGAUUGACGUAAUGAUUAAUAGGGAUAGUUGGGGGCAUUAGUAUUCAAUUGUCAGAGGUGAAAUUCUUGGAUUUAUUGAAGACUAACUACUGCGAAAGCAUUUGCCAAGGAUGUUUUCAUUAAUCAAGAACGAAAGUUAGGGGAUCGAAGACGAUCAGAUACCGUCGUAGUCUUAACCAUAAACUAUGCCGACUAGGGAUCGGAUGAUGUUAAUUUUUUAAUGACUCAUUCGGCGCCUUACGGGAAACCAAAGUGUUUGGGUUC